AUAUGUUUAGAUAUUGUGCUCGCUUCAGCAGCACAUGUACUAAAAUUGGAAGGAUACAGAGAAGAUUAGCAUGGCCCCUGCAUGAGAGUGACAUGCAAAUUCGUGAAGCAUUCCAUACUUUUGGAAAAAAAAAUACCAUACUAAGUGAAGUGAGCCAGACCCAAAG